rnacentral:rRNA from 1 species
GAUGAACGCUGGCGGCGUGCUUAACACAUGCAAGUCGAACGGAAAGGCUCCUGCUUGCAGGGGUACUCGAGUGGCGAACGGGUGAGUAACACGUGGGUGAUCUGCCCUGCACUUCGGGAUAAGCCUGGGAAACUGGGUCUAAUACCGGAUAGGACGAUGGUUUGGAUGCCAUUGUGGAAAGGUUUUUCGGUGUGGGAUGAGCUCGCGGCCUAUCAGCUUGUUGGUGGGGUAAUGGCCUACCAAGGCGUCGACGGGUAGCCGGCCUGAGAGGGUGUACGGCCACAUUGGGACUGAGAUACGGCCCAGACUCCUACGGGAGGCAGCAGUGGGGAAUAUUGCACAAUGGGCGCAAGCCUGAUGCAGCGACGCCGCGUGGGGGAUGACGGCCUUCGGGUUGUAAACUCCUUUCGCUAGGGACGAAGCGCAAGUGACGGUACCUGGAGAAGAAGCACCGGCUAACUACGUG